rnacentral:rRNA from 1 species
AGAGUUUGAUCCUGGCUCAGGACGAACGCUGGCGGCGUGCUUAACACAUGCAAGUCGAACGGAAAGGCCCCUUUGGGGGUACUCGAGUGGCGAACGGGUGAGUAACACGUGAGUAACCUGCCCUUGACUUCGGGAUAACUUCAGGAAACUGGGGCUAAUACCGGAUAGGAAUCCUUGCUGCAUGGUGGGGGUUGGAAAGCUUCGGCGGUUUUGGAUGGACUCGCGGCUUAUCAGCUUGUUGGUGGGGUAGUGGCUUACCAAGGCUUUGACGGGUAGCCGGCCUGAGAGGGCGACCGGCCACAUUGGGACUGAGAUACGGCCCAGACUCCUACGGGAGGCAGCAGUGGGGAAUAUUGCACAAUGGGCGGAAGCCUGAUGCAGCAACGCCGCGUGCGGGAUGACGGCCUUCGGGUUGUAAACCGCUUUCAGCAGGGGCGAAGCUUUUGUGACGGUACCUGCAGAAGAAGCACCGGCUAACUACGUGCCAGCAGCCGCGGUGAUACGUAGGGUGCGAGCGUUGUCCGGAUUUAUUGGGCGUAAAGAGCUCGUAGGUGGUUGAUUGCGUCGGAAGUGAAAACUUGGGGCUUAACCCUGAGCGUGCUUUCGAUACGGGUUGACUUGAGGAAGGUAGGGGAGAAUGGAAUUCCUGGUGGAGCGGUGGAAUGCGCAGAUAUCAGGAGGAACACCAGUGGCGAAGGCGGUUCUCUGGACCUUUCCUGACGCUGAGGAGCGAAAGCGUGGGGAGCGAACAGGCUUAGAUACCCUGGUAGUCCACGCUGUAAACGGUGGGUACUAGGUGUGGGGUCCAUUCCACGGAUUCCGUGCCGUAGCUAACGCAUUAAGUACCCCGCCUGGGGAGUACGGCCGCAAGGCUAAAACUCAAAGGAAUUGACGGGGGCC